AACGAACGCUGGCGGCAUGCCUAACACAUGCAAGUCGAACGACACCACCGGGACUAGUUGCGCACGGGGGCGUAACGCGUCGGAACCUUCACUUAUGUUUGGAAUAACUCCCCGACAGGGGUGAUAACACCGGAUAAUGUCUUCGAACCCAAGAUAUAUCGCCUUUGGCUGGGCACGCGUUGGAUUAGCUUUUUGGGAGGGUAAAAGCCCAACAAGGCGACGAUCCAUAGCUGGUCUGAGAGGAUGAUCAGCGACACUGGGACUGAGACACGGCCCAGACUCCUACGGGAGGCAGCAGUGGGGAAUAUUGGACAAUGGGGGAAAGCCUGAUCCAGCAAUGCCGCGAGAGUGAUGAAGGCCUUAGGGUUGUAAAGCUCUUUUACCCGGGAUGAUAAUGACAGUACCGGGAGAAUAAGCCCCGGCUAACUACGUG
rnacentral:rRNA from 1 species